AGGGUACUUAUUUGGGGAGUUUAAGGAGGUUUGUUUAAGGGUUGAAGGGAGAAACGUAGAUCAGAUUAGAAUAACUGUAUGGAGGAGUCUAAAAAGAUUUGUACGAGGGCUGAGGGGUGAGACACCGUAUAAGAACUGUGCUUUUUGUGUGGUGUAUUAGACAGCAUUUGAACAUUCGACUUAAUACAUAGGAGAGUUUUGAAGGGGUUCUUCCUUGCCAUUGGACGAAGGCAAAUGGUUUUUUGGAGUCAAAUACUAGUUGCCGUGAAUCACAGAAGGUAGAAGAAAUUCCGACCCUGUGAGGACAAGCUUGUCAAUCCAGAAGUUUUCUUCUGGUGGUAAAAACUGGUAACAAGUAUCAGGGGAUUAUAUAACUAUAUUUUGGCUCCCUGUCUCUUCGUUCCCCACCUUGAGUUUGUGAGCGACGGGGUAGUCGCCGGGAAGCACCCAAAGACCAUCUCGAGGUUUGAAGAGCAAGGACCAAGAAACAUGAGCCUAACCUUCCCGCGGGUUCUUCAUGCUCCUGGUCUCCUUUACCGUAGUUUGACUUGCACCAAUCACACAGGUUAUCUACUUUUCUUGCCCCGGACGAGAAGAUUUUGUGCAAUUACCAUCUCAUCAGUUUCCAAGUCAAGUGAAGAGCUAAUGGUGGUGGUGGGAGGUGGAGCUGCUGGAAUAUAUGGUGCAAUCAGGGCGAAAACUCUGGCCCCCAAUCUUAAAGUAGUUGUUGUCGAAAAGGGAAAAGCUUUAUCCAAGGUUAAGAUUUCUGGAGGUGGUCGCUGCAAUGUGACUAACGGUCAUUGCGUUGACAAUAUGAUUUUGGCAGAACACUACCCCAGGGGACACAAGGAACUGCGAGGGUCUUUUUUCAAGAUGCACAGCCCAAUGGACACCAUGACUUGGUUUUCUGAUCAUGGGGUAGAGCUUAAGACUGAAGAUGAUGGAAGGGUUUUUCCUGUCAGUAACAGUUCAUCUUCUGUAAUUGAUUGCCUCUUGUCUGAAGCCAAGAGCAGAGGAGUUAUACUGCUGACUGGAAAGGUUGUGACAAGCGCUUCCAGUAUUGCCAGAGGGAAAUUCACUGUCAGGGUAGAGAAACGGACAGCUGAUAUUGUAGAGUAUGUGGAAGCUGAGUAUCUUCUAAUUGCAAGUGGAAGCAGCCGGCAGGGUUAUAGUCUUGCUGCUCAGCUUGGUCACACUAUUGUGGAACCUGUACCAAGCCUAUUCACUUUCAAGAUUGAUGAUUUCCAGCUAGCAGAGUUGUCUGGGGUUACAUUCACCAAGGCAAAAGCUAAAUUGAAACUAGAUACCAUGCAGAAGAAUGUACCACCGCUUACACAGGUUGGACCAAUGUUGGUAACGCAUUGGGGGCUUAGCGGUCCAGUGAUUCUUCGCCUAUCUGCAUGGGGAGCCCGUGAUCUUUCCAUUUCAAAUUAUAAAGUGAAGUAUCAUACCCGUUCAGGCAUCCUUGAAGUAGAUUUUGCUCCUGAUCUUCAUGCUGAAGAUGUAAAAUCUGUUCUCAAUCAACACAAGAAUCGAUUCCCAAAGCAAAAGUUGCUCAGUUCGUGGCCUUCUGAAUUUGGCCUGGCAAAAAGAUUCUGGAAAUAUAUAAUAGACCGGUCUAUCUGGAGAUAUCCUCUGGUCUUCAAUCUCUCGCGGCUCAUUAACAUCAGUUGCUUUUCUCUUAAAACACUGUACCUUUAAUGUCAUAGGCAAGGGUCAAUUUAAGGACGAGUUUGUCACGGCUGGAGGAGUUCCGUUGUCUGAGAUUUACCUGAAUACAAUGGAAAGCAGGAUUCAGUCCAAUCUGUUCUUUGCUGGGGAGGUACUGAAUGUUGAUGGCGUUACUGGUGGUUUCAAUUUCCAGAAUGCCUGGUCUGGUGGAUACAUUGCGGGGACAAGUGUCGGUACCCUUGCAAAUGGCAGUAACCCUAGAUACAGAGAGGAGGAUGUUGCGUAGAGAAACACAGAAUGUGGCAUGCUCAAACAUGGCAAAAGGUGAUUCGAAUGUUCUAUAUCUAUGAUUCUGCUAAUAAAUGGUACAGUCCUAUUUCCGGAUUUUGGUAUCAAGAGAGGUUAUGUGGCGAUUUGUGUUUGCGAAGGGGGUUAGACAGAAUUAAGUUGUCAUCUUCGGUAAGGGAAAGCUUCAUCCAGGAGAACACGACUAAACAAUGUCAGCUCUUCAUCAGAUGAUGUUGAUGCUAUUGGACGAUUUUCUGGUGAGAUAUUUCCUCCCCGCAAUCGGUGGAGCAAAGCAUCCAAAACCUCUUUCUAGAGUAGUGCAGAAAAAGUUCUUGCACGCUACAGGCCACUCCAUUCGGCCAACUGUUUGAAGUCUGCAGUCUGCACAUCAAAGCUUGAACUUCUUGUCCGAUUGAUGUGAUGUCGCUUGGUGCAUGCUUCCAUUAUCGAGCACUUUUUGCGUGCCAAGGAAAUGAAGCUUUUCUGAAUACUCAGUUUUCAAAUCAUGAAAACAAUCUGGACAAAUUUCACAAUGCAGUUUGGGCCCGUCCAAAUUAGUCGUCCUCAUUGCCUGAGUCAAAUUUUCGGAGGUUCUUUGUAGUUUGAUUAGUCAAGGAGUUGGUUCCUUUUCAAAAAAAGAUGCAGCUUUUAGUAGAUCAAUAGAUCAUUGAUGACAUUAUAUGAAUUGGUCCUUUUCUUUCAAUGUGCUUAAAGAAAAGGAGUCCCAUAUUGUUUUCUAAAACAAUAUGGCUAUGGAAAAUUUCAAGAAGAAGAAGAAAGAAGUUACUACUGUAUUUUCAUACGCAGACAACAAUAAAUUCAAGGGCUUGUAAAAGUAAAACUUCAACAAGAAAGGGUUGAUGAAUUGC